UUUGACCUCAAAUCAGGUAGGACUACCCGCUGAACUUAAGCAUAUCAAUAAGCGGAGGAAAAGAAACUAACAAGGAUUCCCCUAGUAACUGCGAGUGAAGCGGGAAAAGCUCAAAUUUAAAAUCUGGCGGUCUCUGGCCGUCCGAGUUGUAAUCUAGAGAAGUGUUAUCCGCGCUGGACCGUGUACAAGUCUCCUGGAAUGGAGCGUCAUAGAGGGUGAGAAUCCCGUCUUUGACACGGACUGCCAGGGCUUUGUGAUGCGCUCUCAAAGAGUCGAGUUGUUUGGGAAUGCAGCUCAAAAUGGGUGGUAAAUUCCAUCUAAAGCUAAAUAUUGGCGAGAGACCGAUAGCGAACAAGUACCGUGAGGGAAAGAUGAAAAGAACUUGGAAAGAGAGUUAACAG
rnacentral:rRNA from 1 species